rnacentral:rRNA from 1 species
GAUGAACGCUGGCGGUAUGCUUAACACAUGCAAGUCGAACGGUCACUUCGUUGUUAGUGGCGGACGGGUGAGUAACGCGUGAGAAUCUGUCUUCAGGUCGGGGACAACAGUUAGAAAUGACUGCUAAUACCGGAUGUGCCUUUGGGUGAAAGAUUUAUUGCCUGAAAAAGAGCUCGCGUCAGAUUAGCUAGUAGGUGGUGUAAGAGACUACCUAGGCUCCGAUCUGUAGCUGGUCUGAGAGGACGAUCAGCCACACUGGAACUGAGACACGGUCCAGACUCCGACGGGAGGGAGCAGUGGGGAAUAUUGCGCAAUGGGCGAAGGCCUGACGGAGCAAUACCGCGUGAGGGACGAAGGCUGUUGGGUCGUAAACCUCUUUUCUCAAGGAAGAUGGUGACGGUACUUGAGGAAUAAGCAUCGGCUAACUCCGUG